AACGAACGCUGGCGGCAGGCUUAACACAUGCAAGUCGAACGCAUCCUUCGGGGUGAGUGGCAGACGGGUGAGUAACGCGUGGGAACGUGCCCUUCAGUUCGGGAUAACCCAGGGAAACUUGGGCUAAUACCGGAUACGUGCGAGAGCAGAAAGAUUUAUCGCUGAAGGAUCGGCCCGCGUCUGAUUAGCUAGUUGGUGGGGUAAUGGCCCAACAAGGCGACGAUCAGUAGCUGGUCUGAGAGGAUGAUCAGCCACAUUGGGACUGAGACACGGCCGAAACUCCUACGGGAGGCAGCAGUGGGGAAUAUUGGACAAUGGGCGCAAGCUUGAUCCAGCCAUGCCGCGUGAGUGAUGAAGGCCUUAGGGUUGUAAAGCUCUUUCGUCCGGGACGAUAAUGACGGUACCGGAAGAAGAAGCCCCGGCUAACUUCGUGCCAGCCGCCGCGGUAA
rnacentral:rRNA from 1 species